rnacentral:rRNA from 1 species
GACGAACGCUGGCGGCGUGCUUAACACAUGCCAGUCGAACGGAAGGGCCCUGCUUUUGUGGGGUGCUCGAGUGGCGAACGGGUGAGUAACACGUGAGUAACCUGCCCUUGACUUUGGGAUAACUUCAGGAAACUGGGGCUAAUACCGGAUAGGAGCUCCUGCUGCAUGGUGGGGGUUGGAAAGUUUCGGCGGUUGGGGAUGGACUCGCGGCUUAUCAGCUUGUUGGUGGGGUAGUGGCUUACAAAGGCUUUGACGGGUAGCCGGCCUGAGAGGGUGACCGGCCACAUUGGGACUGAGAUACGGCCCAGACUCCUACGGGAGGCAGCAGUGGGGAAUAUUGCACAAUGGGCGGAAGCCUGAUGCAGCAACGCCGCGUGCGGGAUGACGGCCUUCGGGUUGUAAACCGCUUUCGCCUGUGACGAAGCGUGAGUGACGGUAAUGGGUAAAGAAGCACCGGCUAACUACGUG